rnacentral:misc_RNA from 1 species
AGCUCUCAAGCAGAUAUAGCUUAAUUGUUAUGUUUGUUUGGAUUUGGACUCUGCUGUGUCAAUGCAGCUGGUCUUAAAUGUAUUAGCUGUUCCUUAUAAGAGGAUUUGGUUCUACUCGGCGUGAUAAUUAUCUAACGUCGAGGACGGUCUUUUUGGGACUGGCCAGAGAUAUCUUUGGAUUGCUUCUAAGUCGUGUCCUUUGGGCAUGUCAUUUGAUU